GACGAACGCUGGCGGCGUGCUUAACACAUGCCAGUCGAACGGAAAGGCCCUGCUUUUGUGGGGUGCUCGAGUGGCGAACGGGUGAGUAACACGUGAGUAACCUGCCCUUGACUUUGGGAUAACUUCAGGAAACUGGGGCUAAUACCGGAUAGGAGCUCCUGCUGCAUGGUGGGGGUUGGAAAGUUUCGGCGGUUGGGGAUGGACUCGCGGCUUAUCAGCUUGUUGGUGGGGUAGUGGCUUACCAAGGCUUUGACGGGUAGCCGGCCUGGGAGGGUGACCGGCCACAUUGGGACUGAGAUACGGCCCAGACUCCUACGGGCGGCAGCAGUGGGGAAUAUUGCACAAUGGGCGGAAGCCUGAUGCAGCAACGCCGCGUGCGGGAUGACGGCCUUCGGGUUGUAAACCGCUUUCGCCUGUGACGAAGCGUGAGUGACGGUAAUGUGUAAAGAAGCACCGGCUAACUACGUG
rnacentral:rRNA from 1 species